UCUAAUAUGGCAGAAAAAUGCRUUGGAUUUAAACCCCAUWAAUAAAGAUUUAUAACUUUUUUUAGAA
rnacentral:tRNA from 1 species